UAUAUGACAAACCCACAGCUAACAUCAUACUCAAUGGUGAAAUCUGAAAGUAUGUCCUCUAAGAUCAGGAAAGAGACAAAGAUGUCCACUUUCACCACCUUUUUUUUUUUUCUUUUUUCUUUUCUGGCUGUCCUAGGGCAUAUGGAGUUCCCAGGCCAGGGAUCAGAUUCAAGUUGCAGGUGCAAUCUACUGAGGCAACACCAGACCCUUAACUCACUGUGGCAGAUUGGAGCUCUAACCUGUGUCCCAGUGCUCCAGAGACACCACCAAUCCCAUUGCAACAUAACAUAAAAGGAACUCCUUGCCACUUUUAUUCAAUAUAGUUUUGGAAGUCCUAGCCACAGCAAUCAGAGAAGAAAAAGAAAUAAAAGGAAUCCAAAUUGGAAAGGAAGAAGUAAAUAUGUCACUGUUUGCAGAUGACAUGAUGCCAUACAUAAAAAACCCUAAAAUACUACCAGAAAACUACUAGAGCUCAUCAAUGAAUCUGGUAAAGUUGCAGGAUACAAAAUUAAUACACAAAAAUCUGUUGCAUUUCUAUUCACUAACAAUGAAAUAUCAGAAAUAGAAAUUAAAGAAACAAUCUUAUGUAUCAUUACAUCAAAAAGAAUAAAAUACCUAGGAAUAAACCUACCAAAGGAGGCAAAAGACCUGUACUUGGAAAACUAUAAGAUAUUACUGAAAGAAAUUGAAGAAGACACAAUCAGAUGGGAAAGAAAUACCAUGUUCUUGGACUGGAAGAAGCAAUAUUGUCAAAAUGACUAUAGUACCCAAGGCAAUCUACAGAUUCAGCACAAUCCUAUCAUAUUUUUUUUCGCAGAUCUGAAACAAAAAUCUUUUUUUUAAAUUGUUAUUUCCCCAAUACGAUUUUUUUCUACUGUACAGCAUGGUGACCCAAUUACACAUACUUGUACACAUUCUAUUUUCUCACAUUGUUGUGCUGCAUCAUAAGUGACUAGACAUAGUUCUCAGUACUACACAGCAGGAUCUCAUUGCUAAUCCAUUCCAAAGGCAAUAGUAUCCACCUAUUAACCCCAAGCUCCCCAACCACCCCACUCUUCCCCCUCCCCCUUGGCAACCACAAGUCUAUUCUCCAAGUCCAUGAGUUUCUGUUCUGUGGAAAGGUUCAUUUGUGCCAUAUAUUAGAUUCCAGAUAUAAGUGAUAUCAUAUGGUGUUUGUCUUUCUCUUUCUGACUUACAUCACUCAGUUUGAGAGUCUCUAGUUCCAUCCAUGUUGCUGCAAAUGGCAUUAUGUCGUUCUUUUUGAUGGCCAAGUAAUAUUCCAUUGUGUAUAUAUACCACCUUUUCCUAAUCCAUUCAUCUGUCGAUGGACAUUUGGGUUGUUUCCAUGUCUUGGUUAUUGUGAAUAGUGCCGCAAUGAACAUGCGGGUACAUGUGUCUUUUGUAAGGAAAGUUUUGUCCAGAUAUAUGCCCAAGAGUGGGAUUGCUGGGUUAUAUGGUAGUUCUAUGUAUAGAUUUCUAAGGUAACUCCAUACUGCUUUCCAUAGUGGUUGUACCAGCUUACAUUCCCACCAACAGUGCAGGAGGGUUCUCUUUUCUCCACAACCCCUCCAGCAUUUGUUAUUUGUGGACUUAUUAAUGAUGGCCAUUCUGACUGGUGUGAGGUGGUAUCUCGUGGUAGUUUUGAUUUGCAUUUCCUCUAAUAAUCAGGGAUGUUGAGCACUUUUUCAUGUGCUUGUUGACCAUCUGUACAUCUUCCUUGGAAAAAUGUCUAUUCAGGUCUUUUGACCAUUUUUCCACUGGGUUGUUGGCUUUUUUGCUAUUGAGUUGUAUAAGUUGCUUGUAUAUUCUAGAGAUUAUGACCUUGUCAGUUGCAUCCUUUGAAACUAUUUUCUCCCAUUUGGUUAAUUGUCUUUUUGGUUUCUUUUCCUGUGCGAAAGCUUGUCAGUUUGAUUAGGACCCAUUGGUUUAUUUUUGCUUUUAUUUUUGUUCCUUUGGGAGACUGACCUGAGAAAAUAUUCAAGAGGUUGAUGUCAGAGAGUGUUUUGCCUCUGUUCUCUUCCAGGAGUUUUGACGGUGUCUUGUCUUAUAUUUAAGUCUUUCAGCCAUUUUGAGUUUAUUUUCAUGCAUGAUGUGAGUAUGUGUUCUAGUUUCAUUUAUUUGCAUGCAGCUAUUCCAGGUUUCCUAGCAAUACUUGCUGAAAAGACUUUUUCUCAUUUUAUGUUCUUGCCUCCUUUGUCAAAGAUUAAUUGACCAUAGGUGUCUGGGUUUAUUUCUGGGUUCUCUAUUCUGUUCCAUUGGUCUGUAUGUCUGUUUUGGUACCAGUACCACAUUGUCUUGAUGACUAUGGCUUUGUAAGAUUGCUUGAAGUCUGGAAAAGUUAUGUCUUCUCCUUGGUUUUUGUUUCUCAGGAUUGCUUUGACAAUUCUGGGUCUUUUGUGGAUCCAUAUAAAUUUUUGGAUUGUUUGUUCUAGUUUAGUAAAAAAUGUCCUGGGUAAUUUGAUAGGGAUUGCAUUGAAUCUGUAGAUUGCUUUGGGUAGUAUGGCCAUUUUUACAAUAUUAAUUUUUCCAACCCAGGAACAUGGAAUAUCUUUCCCUUUCUUUACCCUUUUUUUUUUUUUUUUUUGGUCUUUUUGCCUUUUCUAGGGCUGCAUCUGCAACAUAUGAAGGUUCCCAGGCUAGGGGUUGAAUUGGAGUUCCAUCGGCCUACACCAGAGCCACAGCAAUGCGGGAUCCAAGCCAUAUCUGCGACCUACACCACAGCUCAUGGCCACACCGGAUCUGAGCAAGGCCAGGGAUUGAACCCACAACCUCAUGGUUCCUAGUUGGAUUUGUUAACCACUGAGCCACUAUGGGAACUCCUCUUUACAUCUUUAAUUUCCUUGAUUCAUGUUUUAUAGUUCUCAGCAUAUAAGUCUUUUAUCUCCUUGGUCAGGUGUAUUCCCAGGUAUUUGAUUUUUUGGGGUGCAAUUUUUAAAAGUAUUGUAUUUGCAGAUGACAUGAUACUACAUAUAGAAAACCCUAAGGACUCAACACAAAAACUAUUUGAA
rnacentral:lncRNA from 1 species